UGGGGAAUCUUGGACAAUGGGGGCAACCCUGAUCCAGCGACGCCGCGUGGGUGAUGAAGGCCUUCGGGUUGUAAAGCCCUUUCACCGGGGACGAUGAUGACGGUACCCGGAGAAGAAGCACCGGCUAACUCCGUGCCAGCAGCCGCGGUAAGACGGAGGGUGCUAGCGUUGUUCGGAAUCACUGGGCGUAAAGGGCGCGUAGGCGGCGGGUCAAGUCGGCUUGUGAAAGCCCGGGGCUCAACCUCGGAGGUGCAGCCGAGACUGAUCUGCUCGAGGCCGGAAGAGGAGGGUGGAAUACCCAGUGUAGAGGUGAAAUUCGUAGAUAUUGGGUGGAACACCGGUGGCGAAAGCGGCUCUCUGGUCCGGACCUGACGCUGAGGCGCGAAAGCGUGGGGAGCAAACAGGAUUAGAUACCCCCGUAGUCC
rnacentral:rRNA from 1 species